UACGUAGGGUGCAAGCGUUAUUCGGAAUUAUUGGGCGUAAAGGGCGCGUAGGCGGCUAGAUGUGUCAAAGGUGAAAUCCCUCGGCUCAACUGAGGAACUGCCUUUGAAACUGUCUGGCUUGAGGCCGGGAGAGGGUAGCGGAAUUCCCAGUGUAGCGGUGAAAUGCGUAGAUAUUGGGAGGAACACCGGUGGCGAAGGCGGUUCUCUGGGCAUGUCCUGACGCUGAGGAGCGAAAGUGUGGGGAGCGAACAGG
rnacentral:rRNA from 1 species